rnacentral:rRNA from 1 species
AUGGUUAAAGAAGAAAAAGAAGAAAACAUGGGUUCUGUUGAAUUUCAAGUAUCCAGUCUCACCAAUAAAAUACGGAGACUUGCUUCACAUUUAGAAUUACACAAAAAAGAUUUUUUAUCAGAAAGAGGUCUACGAAGACUUUUGAGAAAACGUCGACGUUUGCUGGCUUAUUUGGCAAAGAAAAAUAGAGUACGUUAUAAGAAAUUAAUCAAAAACAUUCCCUGGAUAAGCCUCACGGCCGGGAGGUCUUCUUAA